GAGAGAGAAAACAUACACCUGUGACGAGUGUGGGAAGGAUUUUAUUGGGAAGGCUGAACUAAAACUUCAUCAGGUCAUCCACACUGGAGAGAGACCGUUCAGCUGUGACUUGUGUGGAAAGACUUUCUCCUGGAAGAAUGCUCUAAAAAGACACCAACUCAUCCACAGUGGAGUUAAAGCGUACAGCUGUGAUCAGUGUGGCAGAGCUUUUACUCAAAGUAGCGAAUUACAGAAUCAUCUAGUUACCCACUCUGGAAUUAAGGCAUACACCUGUGACAUUUGUGGAAAAACCUUCAGUCGGAUAGACAGCCGAAAUAUACACCUACGCAUUCACACCGGACAUGAUGUGUACUGCUGUGAACAGUGUGGCAAACAGUUUACAAGAGACGCACACUUACAACGCCACAUGUUUACCCACACUGAGGAACGACCUUAUAAAUAUGACCUGUGUGAGAAGACUUUUAAAUCUCCACGUAACCUGAGAGAACACCAACAGAUCCACACCAGAAAGAGACUCUACAAGUGCAGUUACUGUGAGAAGCAGAGCGACACAGAUGGAUCCAGUUCUCAACCCUGUCAUCACUGUGGUGGUGGGAAAAACUUUCGUUGUGACCUCUGUGGAAAAACUUUCAGUUGGCAAGGCUCCCUAAAAAGACAUCAACGUCGACACACUGGAGACAAACUGAAAUACUGCAAAGAAUGUGGGAGAGGCUUCCCCACAUCAAGUGGAUUAAAACAACAUGAACUGAUUCACAGUGGGGUUAAAAAGCACCUCUGUGAUCAGUGUGGGUCAUCCUUCACCACUGCAGGUCAGCUUAAAUCACACAAACGAGUCCACACAGGAGAGAAACCAUACAAGUGCAGACACUGUGACAAAAGCUCACGAUCAAGUCAUCGUAACAAGCAUGAACGUACACACAUGGAAGGAAACUACAGCUGUGACCAGUGUGACAAGACUUUCAGGAAUCUCAGUUCAUACUCCAAACAUAAACGGUCCCACGUUGCUAAUAAACUGUUUCACUGUUACCAAUGUGCCCAAACAUUCACCUCAUUGUCUGCUCUGUGCAAACAUCAGCGUGAUCACUCAGGGCUGAAAUCACUCCCAUCACUGGAUCACAGUGAAUCUGAAGAGACACAAAGAUCCUCUGGUUUCAGUGUCAGACUUAAAACCCUUGAGAUCAGGCUCCACAGAGUUCAGAUGGAAUCUCCUGUAAAGAUCUGAUGAAAAUGUUCCACUAGAUGGAUGUAUAAUCUCUUUUUCUGAAGGUUGCUCUCUUCCUGUUUCUGCCAGUGCUGACUGCACAGAUGUAAUUCAGAUCCAUGUCACUGUUCGGAAGUAUCAGAGAACUGCUGAUACUGUAAAGCUGCUGGUCAGUCUGAUGGGCUGUUGUGUUGUUGUUGGUGAUGCUGGAUGAAGGGCUGGUGGACCAGAUGAGCUCAGGUUGAGGGUAGAUCCCCUCUGAGCUGCAGGUGAUCCUUUGUCCUACUUGUUGGAGAUUAACUUUACGGACUGGAGCUGAAAAAAAAAAACUAAGAAUAAAAAAA